GCCGCCAUGCUGCUGCCUCUUCGUGCCGCGGAGCCACCCCUCCCCCCACGUUCACACACACCACGUGACCGUACGGUACGCACCGCUCCCUCCCACGCGCGACCCCAGGCAGCGGAAGGCACGGUCCUGAUCUUGUAACUUGUUCCAUGCAGUUCUAGCCACAUGGAACAAAUUGAAGGAUAUGAGCCUGAGAAUGUCUAUUGUGAUACACAGUUUGUAAUGCAAAGAAUCUCAGGGCUUCUGCCUUCUGGGUGGGGCUCAGGCCUUCAGGUCUGUGGGGUGCACCUGCUGGGGCCCCAAGCCUUGGCUAGUGCCUCCCAUGGGGCAGAAGCCUCAAGUCCCACCGCACUGCUGCAGGGCAGAAGCCCCAAGCCCUGGUAGGUGAGCUCCAUAGGACUGAAGCCCAGAGACCCUGCAGGCGCGCCUGGAUCUUCAAGUUAUGAAGAUUAUUGUAUGCAGCUCAGAGGGUCAGUAAAUAUGACUACCCCUGCUCUAUAUCAUAUCCAGAUAUAAAACUAGAUUUACUUGAUCUAGGAAAACUAAGGACUCCAGGUAUUGCUAGAGCUAUAUGACCACAACCUUUUCUCUAAUCAUCCCCCACGCCCCAAAGGAAGAGACUGUUUAUAUGGAAGGAAAAAAAGUUUCUUGAACAGUCAUCAAACAUCCAAUUCUUUAAGAAAUGUGGGCACUGCUUCCCUGAGGGUAAUAUUGGCAGUUUCCUCCAGUGAUGAGCCCAGUGCCUCAACAUCCAACAGGCUCAUAGCUUUGGGAACCGUCACCUUGUUGUGGUGAAGGGGCUUGCAAGUUCCAGUGAUCCUCAGAGCUAAAUUAUUGAGAGCUUCAUAUUCCUGGUAGGGUCUCCCAAGGUGAACAAGUCUGAGGGAAGGUCCAAGACAAAGUAUGGUCCAAUUCUCCAAGUCCUCAAUGGUGGAUCAAGUGGAAGAGUGUCCUUGGAUCUCAAUGGCUUCAUCUCAACAGAUGAAGGAUGCAGCAAGUGGAGAUCUCCAGUCGUCUCAGACUUUCCCUGCCACUGGGCCCCAGACCUCUAACUUGUCAUGAUCAUGUGGUCGCUGAAGGCACAUGAGCUUCCCCACAUUAAAAGAAAUCAUGCGCAGGCUUCUAUCACAGGAAUAACAUCUGUCCAAUCUUCCAAGCCCUGCGGCAAUGGACUAGUGGUGAUAGGGACAGGAUUAGUGAAUCUGGCAGUCCCUUGCCAUGAAUCUGCAUGUAGGCGGCAGUAGUUAGAUGGUCAUCUAGCACCUGGACUGAGACAGAGGUGCAAUUUGGCAGCUACUAUCAUGACUGAGCAGUCCUCUUUAGGAUCCUCUCUGCUCACUCUGCAUGGGGAGAGGGCUAGAAAAGGUGCCCUAAACCUAGGCUGUCUCAUAUACUCCUGGCUGGAUUACCGCAUCCAGUGGGAUCAGUCUGCCUGCAGUUGAAGCUAUAAAAGGACAGUGACUUUUGCUACAUGGAAUGUUCACACCCUGAUGGAUAACAAAGAUAAUGUACUGCUGGAAAGAAGAACUGCUAUUGUCGCUAGGGAACUUGUGAGAUAUAACAUUGAUGCCGCUGCCCUGAUUGAGACAAGGUGCCCAGAUGAAGGUCAACUGAGAGAAAAAGGGGGAGGCUACACCUUUUUCUGGAAAGGAAAAUCUGUGGCACAUUCAUGGUGUCGAUUUUGCAAUUAGGAAUAAGUUUGUCAGUCAGUUUACAGAAUUUCCUGUAGGAAUCAAUGAAUGUCUUAUGACUCUUUGUUUUGAGCUUUGCAACAAGCAGUCUGCUAUUGUCACCAGUGCGUAUGCCCCAACAUUUGAUUCUAUCAAGGAUAGAUUGUAUCAAGGAUAUCAAGGAACAAUUCUAUACAGAUCUUGACCAAAAUUCCCAAGGAGGACAAGAUCAUUCUCCUCUUGAGAUUUUAACAUUAGAGUCGGGCGGGAGUCAGAUCUCUAGAACGGCACUAUCAGAAAAGAAGGAGAAGGAAAGGCUAAUUCCAAUGCCAUCCUCCUGAGCAAAUGCGUAGAACAUGGUGUGAUCAUCAUGAACACCGUCUUUAGACAAAGUGAGAAGUAUAAGACCACCUGGAGAAACCCCCACUCCAGGCAUUGAAACCUUCUUGACUAUGUUAUUGUUAGAGCUUGAGAUCGGAAGGAUGUUCGCAUCAUGAGGGCCAUGCAUGGAACCGAUGACUGUUGGACAGACCAUCACCCUGUUAGAUCAAUCAUGAAUUUCCAGAUUGCCUCAAGGCAUCACAAGCAGGCAAAAUCAGUAUGAAAGAAGUUCAGCAUCAAGUUGCUUAAACAUAUAGUGACUUGGGAGAAACUUCUGCAGUGUUUCCAAGAGACGUUUGCCGUUAUAUCUACAGCUGAUGAUGAUAAUGAAAAUCUCUAGAAGGGAUUAAAAACUGCUAUUCUCUCAAUAUGUGCUGAGUCUAUUGGUUGUGUCACCCACCAUCACCAAGAUUGGUUUGAUGAGAACGAUGCUGAGAUUCAGGGCCUGCUUGACCAGAAAAGAAAAGCUCAUCACAUGUGGCAAAAUGACAUAUCACAUCAGCAGAAGAAAGAGUCAUAUAAGCAAUUCAAGGCUGAAGCCCAAAGGAAAAUCUGUGACAUCAAAAUAAGUGGUGGUGAGAAAAGGCCAAGGAGAUUGAGAUUUAUGCUGAUAAACAUGACAUGAGGAGUUUCUUUUAAGCAAUAAGGACCAUUUACGGCCUAUGUUCCCAUGGAUCCACACCACUUCAAGCCCAAAAUGGGUCAACAUAUUUUAAGGACAAUGAAGCCAUCAAAGCCAGAUGGAAGGAGCAUUUUGAGUUACUCCUGAACCAUGAGUCAACUGUCUUUGAUGCCACUAUCGAAUUUGUACCUUAAUGACAUGAAAGAGAAUCUCUUGCUGACCCUCCCAUGAGCCAUUAUGCAAACUAAGAACAACAAGGCAGUAGGGCCACAUGAGUACCAGCUGAAGUCUGUAAGUUUGGAGGUGAAGAACUGAUAGGGAAGCUCCACAAAGUUUUUCUUUAUAUCUGGUAUAAUGAGAAGAUUCCAGAAGACUUGAGAAACACUAACACUGUUACAAUCUUUAAGAAAGGAGAUAAGUCGGAAUGUGGAAACUAUUGAGGCAUUACCUUGCUAUCUAUAGCAGGGAAAAUUCUUGCCCAUAUCCUCUUAAACCAAUUACUUCCCCUUGCUGAGGAAAUAUUGUCAGAAUCUCAAUGCAGUUUUAGAUCAUCCCAUGGGACAACCAACAUGAUCUUCAUUGCCCGCCAAAUCCAUUAAAAAUCUCAUGAGAAAAAUCAGGACCUGUACAUGGCUUUCAUUGAUUUGACAAAGGCCUUUGACUCUGUCAAUCACAAAGUCCUGUGGAAGAUACUGGCCAGAUUUGGCUGCCCUCCAAAAUUUUUUAAGGUCCUAAGGCUUCUCCAUGAUCAGAUGACUGCCACGGUUCUCUGUAAUGGCCUUGGGACAGAACUGUUUGUCAUCAAAACUGCCCGAACCCUGCUUUCCAUCUGCUUAGCAGUCAUUUUGGUCCUCAUUAAAGAUCAUCUCUCCAAUGGAGUUGACAUUCAAAAUAGAAUGGAUGGGAAGCUCUUUAAUAUUCGACAUCUCCACUCCAAGUGUAAAGUCUUCAGGGCGUCCAUUACUGAUCUUCAGUAUGCUGAUGAUUGUGUGUCAUCCUUGUGCACACUGAGAAUGACCUUCAGUCCAUGCUGGAUUUUCUUGCACAAGCUUAUCAAAGCCAAGGACUCUCACUCAAUACUGAGAUGACUAAAGUGCUCUCUCAACCUGCUUCAGGCCUUGACCUACCGCAAAUCACCAUCAAGGGUCAGACUUUGGAGACAGUUGAGCACUUUUGCUACCUCAAUAGCCAACUUUCUCAAAAUGCAAAAAUUGACAGUGAGAUACAGCACAGGAUCCAAUGUGUAAGUGCUUCUUUUGGGAAAUUGCUCUGACGCAUUGUUACAGACUGUGAUGUAUGGCAGAACACCAAGAUCCAGGUAUAUAAGACAAUUGUUGUUCCUACGCUCUUCUAUGGAUGCGAAACCUGGGUGACCUAUCGACAGCAUUUCAAGAGUUUGGAAAGGUAUCACCAACGAUGCCUCUGAAAGAUCCUUUGUGUCAAGUGGCAAGAUUGCCGCACUAACGCCAGCAUCCUCGCUGAAGCCAAUGUCACCAGCAUUAAAGCAAUGAACUUCGUGCACCAACUCUGCUGGGCUGGACAUUGUGUGUGGAUGCCAGGCUCUUGCCUCCCAAAACAAAUCCUCUACUCUCAGCUUAUCCAUGGUCAGAGAUCCCAUGGUGGUCAGAGGAAAUGCUACAAAGACACACAAAGUGUAUCUUAAGAAAACUGAUGUGGACAUCACAAGCUGGGAAGAGCAAGCCACCAACCGACCCCAAUGGCACCACAUCAUCCAUCAGGCAGUGGCCUGCUUUGAGGAGAAGCACUUUGCCCUCAAAGCUGAAAAGAGAAAGAGAAGAGUAAGGAAAAAGAAAUAACUUUCUCCCAGAAAGCCGCUAGCCCGCCACAAAUGUCUGUAUCUACUGUGGGCAGAUUUGUGGUUCCAGGAUCAGACUCCUGAGUCAUCUCAGGACCCAUAUGUAAAUCCGUGGUAGAGAUCAUUCUCAAAUCGAGGGAUUGCCAGUCAAUCAGCUUGUAACUCUCACAGUACCUCAGUGAAAAACAUUGUCUGGAACUCAUGCAGGGAAGACCUCAUAUUUAUCCUCACUACAUAUGGUUUGCUACUGUGGCAGCAAUAGUUCAGUCUAAAUCCAUGUGAUUUUUAUCUGUGAAGUAGCUUGAAAACUGAAUAGCUGAACUCCGUUUUACCAAAUGGAGACAGUAAAGAUCAACCAGACUGUGUACCACUAGAAAUGCUUCAGUUGACUGGAACUUCACAGAGGUUAUAAUGAUGGGGAGGUGGAAAGCAAAAACAAACAAAACCCCCAUCUCCCUCACAACUCCAUUUACUUAGUCUCCUGCACAGCCACAGUAUAAAUUUUCAAGGAAUUUUCAUGCAGCAGUUGGUUAGACACUGAAUGAGACCACCAGUAGCAGCUCUACAAGUUUUUCAUCCUAUUUCAGCUAUUGCAGGCUGGUGAAUUUCCAGGCCACUGUGUAGGGACCAAAGUGUUGGAAGCAGAACAUGGGCACAUCUGCAGAAUUGUGGGCAGGACUAGAUGCAGCAGGACUGAGCUGAUCUCUGUUGAAAAGGUGGCCAGGCUGCCAGACAGUGCUUCUUUCUUCCUUCCGGGAUGAAGAUGUUUCUCCAGA